UCAUGCAUGCAUCCUUUCAAAAUAUCCAUGUUUUUCAUAAAUGAGAAUAUUAAAUUUAAUAUAAUUUAUCAAAAGGCAAAUGCAGACCCAAUAACUGCGUUUUACUCAUGCAUGCACCCUUUCAAAAUAUCCAUGUUUUUCCAUAAAUGAGAAUAUUAAAUUUAAUAUAAUCUAUCAAAAGGCAAAUGCAGACCCAAUAACUGCGUUUUACUCAUGCAUGCACCCUUUCAAAAUAUCCAUGUUUUUCCAUAAAUGAGAAUAUUAAAUUUAAUAUAAUUUAUGAAAAGGCAAAUGCAGACCCAAUAACUGCGUUUUACUCAUGCAUGCACCCUUUCAAAAUAUCCAUGUUUUUCAUAAAUGAGAAUAUUAAAUUUAAUAUAAUUUAUCAAAAGGCAAAUGCAGACCCAAUAACUGCGUUUUACUCAUGCAUGCACCCUUUCAAAAUAUCCAUGUUUUUCAUAAAUGAGAAUAUUAAAUUUAAUAUAAUUUAUCAAAAGGCAAAUGCAGACCCAAUAACUGCGUUUUAC